GCUGGAAUAGCUCAGUAGGUAGAGCACGAGACUCUUAAUCUCAGGGACGUGGGUUUGAGUCCCAUAUCAGGCA
rnacentral:tRNA from 1 species